UCCAUCCCUGCGCCGGGACUGGAGAGGCUCGCUCUCUCCUGCUGAUGCUGCAGCUGUUGGGAUGCCAGGAGGGGAACCGCCUGAGGAAAGUGCUGAGAGAAAAGAGAGGGAGGGAUACAGACCGGGCCCAGAUGAGUUUGCGCUGAAUCUGAAGUCGGUCUUGUUCCGUUGUCCAGCUUGGAGUGUGCAGUGGCGUGAUUAUGGCUCGUUGCAGCCUGGACCUCCCGGGCUCAAGUGAUCCUUCUGCCUCAGCCUCCCAAAGCGCUGGAAUUACAGAUGAAGGUGGUGGGAACAUACAGAGACCUACAGGGAAGACGGCCGUGGGACAAGGGAGGCAGAGUCUGGAGUUAUGCUGCCUACAGUCACGGAAUGCCAAGGACAGCUGGAAACCACCAGAAGCUAAGAAGGAGAUUUUACCUGAAAGCCUCCCAGAGAAAUCAAUCAUACUCACACCUCCCUUUUGAAUUUCUGGCCUCGUGAACGUUGAAAAAAUAAAUU